GACUCAUUCUUCUUCUUCUCUUCUUCUUCGCUGAAAGCUUGUAAAAGAGAUGAAAUCGUCGACGAAGAACCAGAAAAUCUCUGCGAGGAAAACGAGGAGGAGGAGAAGAAUAGGCAGCUUGCGAAGAAGGCCUCGGUCACGUGACUGCUGUGCGGCCGUGUCGCGAAGAAGGUGCGAUAAUGGCGGACGCACGUGCUCGAAGGUCUCGGACAAAUUGGAAGCCCUAAAGAACCUCAUUCCGGCGCAAGAAGGGGAGAUUGUGAAGGCCGACCAAUUGUUCCAGCAAACCGCGGAUUACAUCGUCCUCUUGAGGGCUAAGGUCGUGAUUUUGCAGAAACUCAUCGAGUUCUACGGAUCCAGUGAAUCAGAAAAUGUUGUAUCCUACAACAUAUAACUCGAGAGGGGAAAAAAGUUGGGCAAAGCAAAGGGCAAGAGUUCUUUUGGAGACACAAAUGCACAGAACAUGUUUGUGAUUGUGUCUAAGCCAGGCAGGCAAGCAAAAGAAGAGAGAGUUACACAUAAUACUUACUCAGACUUACUUACACAAUGUGUCAGUUUUGAAAGGCAUGGGAUGUGGGUGGUGGUGACAGUGAGUCAUUGCACAUAAUAUCUGAGUGAAAUGGACGGCAGUGCCCUUGUCUUUUGCUUUGCUUCUCUGACUCUGCUGUGAUGGUGGUGGUGUGGCGUGGUGUUGUUGAUGACAGUGACAACUUCACUAGCCCAUGUGCAAAAGCCAAAUUUUAAGGGGGGCACUAAACGCCAAGGCCAAUAGCGCAGCCGCUGCAGGCCAGAAGGCGACUCGCCGGAUUUUCAUUCUCUC